UUAGACACUGUGUGUUUUCAGUGUUGUCUUUCUCUUUCCUACAGAUGGUGAUGUGAUCCUGGAGAGUCCUGUCCAUCCUGUAACUCAGGGACAUCCUCUGACUUUACGCUGUUUACAUCACAACUCAAAGAUCUCAGACUCUGGUGUUGAUUUCUAUAAAAACGAUUCAAUUCUCCAGUCCCAGACUACAGGAAAGAUGACCAUCAGUACUGUCUCAAAGUCAGAUGAAGGUUUCUACCACUGUAAACACCCAGAGAGAGGAGAGUCACCGAAAAGCUGUGUUUCAGUCAGAGAUGGUGACCAUCAUUCUGGCAGUGAAAUAUUACAGAGCUCGAACUGACCCCGAUGAGAACAACAGACCGUACAGAGUGAUAGAAGCUGAAGCGUCUGUCUGAGCCUCAGGUUUUUACAUUAUUUUUAUCAUCUAGCUUUUAAAUAACAGCAGCUCCCAGAGCAACAGAGAACACAUUCGUGUAUGUGCUCUGUCAGUAAGUACAGUUUUAGUGAUGAGUGGCUGUGAUGCUAUUUACAUUUACAUUUAUUCAUUUAGCAGAUGCUUUUAUCCAAAGCAACUUACAAAUGAGGAAAUACAAGCAAAGUGACAUAUCAAGCAAAGAACAAUACAAGUACUGCUACUAUACAAGAUUGACAACUGAGUUCUAGAGAAGCAAAGUGCACAGAGUAGAGGAGUAAGAGCCAGAGUAAGUUUUAUUAUUUUUAUUUUUUAUUUUUUUUUAAAUAAUGUGGGGUAGGCAUUUUAGGGGAUAGUUAAAUGCUCACAGGAGAGGUGGGUCUUUAGCUGUUUUUUGAAAAAUUCUGUGAUUUCUGUUUUUCUGGGAUUUGGGAUGAAAGCGUUAAUUCUCAUCUUGCAUGUCUUUUUUUAAUGGAGUGAUUUCAAUUCCUGAUAUAUUUGUAAUACUCAUAUGCAUUUAUUUGUUUACUGUUUAAGCUUUACUUUGUAUUAUUGAUGAUGUUGUUGUUGUUGUUGUAGCUAUACGAUUUUUAAUUUGUUUAAAUUGAAUGUUAAUUUUAAAAUGAUUAUAUUUAAUUAAUUUAGCAUUUACUCAGGGAUAAAUAUGCAUUGUGGUUUGAUACACUGUAAUAUUUGUAAUUAAAUGGAGUAAUUCUUAUUUUGUAAUAUUUUAUGAAGUAA